AACGAACGCUGGCGGCAUGCCUAACACAUGCAAGUCGAACGAAGCCUUCGGGCUUAGUGGCGCACGGGUGCGUAACGCGUGGGAAUCUGCCCUUGGGUUCGGAAUAACAGUUAGAAAUGACUGCUAAUACCGGAUGAUGUCUUCGGACCAAAGAUUUAUCGCCCAAGGAUGAGCCCGUGUAGGAUUAGGUAGUUGGUGGGGUAAUGGCCCACCAAGCCGACGAUCCUUAGCUGGUCUGAGAGGAUGAUCAGCCACACUGGGACUGAGACACGGCCCAGACUCCUACGGGAGGCAGCAGUGGGGAAUAUUGGACAAUGGGCGAAAGCCUGAUCCAGCAAUGCCGCGUGAGUGAUGAAGGCCUUAGGGUUGUAAAGCUCUUUACCAGGGAUGAUAAUGACAGUACCUGGAGAAUAAGCUCCGGCUAACUCCGUGCCAGCAGCCGCGGUAAU
rnacentral:rRNA from 1 species